UACGGGGGGGCAAGCGUUGUUCGGAAUUACUGGGCGUAAAGGGUCUGUAGGUGGCCAACUAAGUCAGACGUGAAAUCCCUCAGCUUAACUGGGGAACUGCGUCUGAUACUGGUUGGCUUGAGUGCAGGAGAGGAAUGCGGAAUUCCAGGUGUAGCGGUGAAAUGCGUAGAUAUCUGGAGGAACACCGGUGGCGAAGGCGGCAUCCUGGACCAACACUGACGCUGAGGAGCGAAAGCCAGGGGAGCAAACGGG
rnacentral:rRNA from 1 species